GAGAGACAAAAGGAAAGUUUGGAGGAGUGCUGCGGUGGGCUGAGAAAUCCAAAAAGAAACCCUAGUUAGGCAAAACUCCCAUGGCCUCACCCCCUCCAGGAAAUGGCAGCUCCGAGUCAGCUGGACUAUUGACUGUGUAAAGGAUUGAGCAAAUAUUCCUGGAUUUGGCCCAGGAGAAUUGAGCACAGGAGCAACAUCCUAACCUCCCCCAUAAGAUGGACCGAGAAAGCCUUGUGCUUUGUAAAGUAAUAUGGGAUAAGAAACAAGUUCUAGCACUAUCAUUAUGGAUGGAUCUGAACCAAAACCCUGGAUAGAAGAAUCUUUGAACUUUCUGGAGGAGAUGAGAUUCUGAAUUCAAAUUUCGUAGCUGGCCCAUAUCUUUACAAUGGGCCACACCAAAAUUCUGCAUCUGAACAUACCUAAACUUUUGGGAUGUCUGAAAUCCUG